GAUGAACGCUGGCGGCGUGCCUAAUACAUGCAAGUCGAGCGAACGGACGAGAAGCUUGCUUCUCUGAUGUUAGCGGCGGACGGGUGAGUAACACGUGGAUAACCUACCUAUAAGACUGGGAUAACUUCGGGAAACCGGAGCUAAUACCGGAUAAUAUUUUGAACCGCAUGGUUCAAAAGUGAAAGACGGUCUUGCUGUCACUUAUAGAUGGAUCCGCGCUGCAUUAGCUAGUUGGUAAGGUAACGGCUUACCAAGGCAACGAUGCAUAGCCGACCUGAGAGGGUGAUCGGCCACACGGGAACUGAGACACGGUCCAGACUCCUACGGGAGGCAGCAGUAGGGAAUCUGCCGCAAUGGGCGAAAGCCUGACGGAGCAACGCCGCGUGAGUGAUGAAGGUCUUCGGAUCGUAAAACUCUGUUAUUAGGGAAGAACAUAUGUGUAAGUAACUGUGCACAUCUUGACGGUAACUAAUCAGAAAGCCACGGCUAACUACGCG
rnacentral:rRNA from 1 species